rnacentral:lncRNA from 1 species
CGGGCGGGGGCGGCCCCGGAGCCCAUUGGAGAGCGGGGAAGGAGGCAGGGAAAGGGGCAGGGUAAGGGGCAGGGUAGGAGACACGGUGGGCUGGCUCUCGGCCCCGCUCGGCUCGACAGUCCCGCCGCUGCAUCCCUCUGACACUGCUGAUACCUCUGGAGUCGCCUCUCUUCCUGCUCACAGUGCCACUGCCCAAGUCCUUGUAGCCGCUGGCACAAUGGAUGGCCGGACCUCAGGUCCCGCUGCGGAGCUUUGCUGAGCUCCCUGUUUAUGCUGAAGGAUGCACCUUUGCCAGGUGCUCCCAGGGCCGAGGGCAAGACACGAGGGGCAGAAGCUUCUGCUGAAGGCCUGGUCAGACCCAGGCAGGGCAGGCCACAGUUUUAUGCUGGAAAUUUCCAAGCUCAGAGUGUAACAGGGAAGCAGAGCCACCUCUUUUGGAAAGAAGGUAUCCAUCUCCCAUCCCAUCCCAUC